AUACGGAAGGUCCGGGCGUUAUCCGGAUUUAUUGGGUUUAAAGGGAGCGCAGGCGGAGAUGCAAGCGUGACGUCAAAUUUCGGGGCUCAACCCCGUCUCGCGUCGCGAACUGCGUCCCUUGGUUGCGGGAAGGGGAGGCGGAACUCGUGGUGGAGCGGUGAAAUGCAUAGAUAUCACGAAGAACUCCGAUCGCGAAGGCAGCCUUCCGGCCCGUCAACGACGCUCAUGCUCGAAGGUGCGGGUAUCAAACAGGAUUAGAUACCCUGGUAGUCCGCACAGUAAACGAUGGACACCCGCGGUUUGGCCUGUAUGGCUGAGCCGCCAAGCGAAAGCGUUAAGUGUCCCACCUGGGGAGUACGCCAGCAACGGUGAAACUCAAAGGAAUUGACGGGG
rnacentral:rRNA from 1 species